rnacentral:rRNA from 1 species
AACGUAGGUAACCUGCCCAUGUGUCCGGGAUAACUGCUGGAAACGGUAGCUAAAACCGGAUAGGUAUACAGAGCGCAUGCUCAGCAUAUUAAAGCGCCCAUCAAGGCGUGAACAUGGAUGGACCUGCGGCGCAUUAGCUAGUUGGUGAGGUAACGGCCCACCAAGGCGAUGAUGCGUAGCCGGCCCGAGAGGGUAAACGGCCACAUUGGGACUGAGACACGGCCCAA